GAGCUUUUAUAAUAAGUGAUCUCCUUUCAGCCUUCUACAAGAACCAGACUCUGUCCGAACUUCCAUAGCGGAUGGAUAUCGAACGAGCUUCUACAACGGACGGACUCCAGCAGUUGGAUUUCUACAACGAUCGAUCGCCUUCGGUGUCUGUCGAACCUCCCCAGCCAUCAACCUUCAAUGGUGUCAGUCAGACUUCCACAAUGCCAUCCAGACUCCCACA
rnacentral:lncRNA from 1 species